CGGGGUGCAGCAGGCGCGAAAACUUUACAAUGCCGGCAACGGCGAUAAGGGGACCUCGAGUGCCAGGUUACAAAUCUGGCUGUCGUGAUGCCUAAAAAGCAUUGCAUAGCAAGGGCCGGGCAAGACCGGUGCCAGCCGCCGCGGUAACACCGGCGGCUCGAGUGGUAACCGUUAUUAUUGGGUCUAAAGGGUCUGUAGCCGGCCGGAUAAGUCUCUUGGGAAAUCCAGCAGCUCAACUGUUGGGCUUCCAGGAGAUACUGUCUGGCUCGAGGCCGGGAGAGGUGAGAGGUACUUCAGGGGUAGGGGUGAAAUCUUGUAAUCCUUGAAGGACCACCAGUGGCGAAGGCGUCUCACCAGAACGGACCUGACGGCAAGGGACGAAAGCUAGGGGCACGAACCGGAUUAGAUACCCGGGUAGUCCUAGCCGUAAACGAUACUCGCUAGGUGUCGGCCACGGUGCGACCGUGGUCGGUGCCGUAGGGAAGCCGUGAAGCGAGCCACCUGGGAGGUACGGCCGCAAGGCUGAAACUUAAAGGAAUUGGCGGGGGAGCAC
rnacentral:rRNA from 1 species